CAAUGGUCGGUACAGAGGGUAGCCAAGCCGCGAGGUGGAGCCAAUCUCAUAAAACCGAUCGUAGUCCGGAUCGCACUCUGCAACUCGAGUGCGUGAAGUCGGAAUCGCUAGUAAUCGCAGAUCAGCAUGCUGCGGUGAAUACGUUCCCGGGUCUUGUACACACCGCCCGUCACACCAUGGGAGUGAGUUUCACCAGAAGUGGGUAGGCUAA
rnacentral:rRNA from 1 species